AGAGUUUGAUCAUGGCUCAGGAUGAACGCUAGCUACAGGCUUAACACAUGCAAGUCGAGGGGCAGCAUGAACUUAGCUUGCUAAGUUUGAUGGCGACCGGCGCACGGGUGAGUAACACGUAUCCAACCUGCCGAUGACUCGGGGAUAGCCUUUCGAAAGAAAGAUUAAUACCCGAUGGCAUAGUUCUUCCGCAUGGUGGAACUAUUAAAGAAUUUCGGGUACAUCGAGUGGGGAUGUCCGUUCC
rnacentral:rRNA from 1 species